AUUGAACGCUGGCGGCAUGCCUUACACAUGCGAGUCGAACGGUAACGGGCCUUCGGGUGCCGACGAGUGGCGAACGGGUGAGUAAUGCAUCGGAACGUACCUUUCAGUGGGGGAUAACGUAGCGAAAGUUACGCUAAUACCGCAUAUUCUGUGAGCAGGAAAGCAGGGGAUCGCAAGACCUUGCGCUGAUUGAGCGGCCGAUGUCAGAUUAGCUAGUUGGUGAGGUAAAGGCUCACCAAGGCGACGAUCUGUAGCGGGUCUGAGAGGAUGAUCCGCCACACUGGGACUGAGACACGGCCCAGACUCCUACGGGAGGCAGCAGUGGGGAAUUUUGGACAAUGGGGGCAACCCUGAUCCAGCCAUGCCGCGUGAGUGAAGAAGGCCUUCGGGUUGUAAAGCUCUUUCGGCCGGGAAGAAAUCGCACAGGCUAAUACCUUGUGUGGAUGACGGUACCGGAAUAAGAAGCACCGGCUAACUACGUGCCAGCAGCCGCAGUAAGAC
rnacentral:rRNA from 1 species